rnacentral:ncRNA from 1 species
CGUGUGGUGUCUGGCGUGAGGCUGGAUGGCGACACGGCCUAAUAUAUUAGAGGU